UUGGCCAGGAUGGUCUCAAACUCCUGACCUCAGGUGAUCUGCCCACCUCCGCCUCCCACAGUGUUGGGAUUACAGGUGUAAGCCACCAUGCCCAUAAUAACAAGAUACUACCAAAUAUUGAUUAAUUUGGAGAAAUCUCUAAGUUUGUUUUUUUGCUGCUCCUUUUCUCGUCCUUAUUACUGCCAUAGCCCUUCUAGUUUCACAGUGAGGUGGCUAUUUUAUGAUUUGUAUUUUUACGUUUCUGCUAUCAUAGAUAUGUGUCUCUCU